rnacentral:lncRNA from 13 species
CUGAUUGUCCAUUAGCCGUUGAGUUGAAACCUUUUGGUCAGGUUAAAAACAUUGCUCUCUUCUUAGUCAUUUCCUCACAUCUGGAAAUGGGAGAGAGAAUACAUCUGGCAACAAAAUACUGAUCAUUCAGUCAGAUUUUGAUGAAGCGUCGCACAGUGCAAAUCUCAUUGCCUCUGCCAAAUAUUCUGCCAUCAAUGAAAUCAACAAAUCAAGACAAGUGGAGAUGGGAGGCAAGGUCUUCGUCUACUUCAUUACUAAAUUGCCAAGAAUGGAAGGAGGGACAUCCUAUGUCGGAUUUCAUGGAGACCCCUGGAGGUCGGUUCAUAUUGAUGACCUCAGAAGAUCGAAAGAUAUUGUGUCAGAUAUCAAAGCCUUGAGAAACCUUACCAUCAGUCAACUGUUUGAGGAGAAAAAGGAUGAGCCUGAAGGUGAAUGACCUUUAAGACUCGUGUUGAUGAUCAUGACAAAAUGUCAUGAAUGAUACAAAAUGAUACACUUCUUCAGAAAAAAUGACCUGUUGACAUCGUUAAAAGAGCCUUGUAUGUUUAUGCACAGCGAUGGAGGUAGAUGACAUGUACACUGAGACAGAGCAACAGGAAUUGGAACAUGAAGACCAAACAAGCUGGGGGAGUGUUGUGGACACCACGGCGCUGGUACGUAGCUGUGUGCAGAGCGCAGUGGGCAUGCUCAGAGACCAGCUGGAGGGCGGAGUCCGUAGUACCAGGAGAGUGGAGAUCCUGCUCACACUCCUGACUGACAACCAACAAAUAAGAGGUAGGAUAACUACUAUAGUACUAAUUGUUUAUUUUUAGAUUUUUAAAGCGACUUGGAGAUUCUUCUUGUAGUAAGAAGUACUAUAUA